UACGAAGGGUGCAAGCGUUACUCGGAAUUACUGGGCGUAAAGGGUGCGUAGGUGGUUGUUUAAGUCUGUUGUGAAAGCCCCGGGCUCAACCUGGGAAUGGCAAUGGAUACUGGACAGCUAGAGUGCGGUAGAGGAGCGUGGAAUUCCCAGUGUAGAGGUGAAAUUCGUAGAUAUUGGGAAGAACACCGGUGGCGAAGGCGGCGCUCUGGACCGAGACUGACGCUGAGGCGCGAAAGCGUGGGGAGCAAACAGG
rnacentral:rRNA from 1 species